UUCCUACGGGGGGCAGCAGUGGGGAAUAUUGCGCAAUGGGGGCAACCCUGACGCAGCAACGCCGCGUGAUUGAAGAAGGCCUUCGGGUUGUAAACUUCUUUUCUCAGGGACGAAGAAAGUGACGGUACCUGAGGAAUAAGCCACGGCUAACUACGUGCCAGCAGCCGCGGUAAUACGUAGGUGGCAAGCGUUGUUCGGAAUAACUGGGCGUAAAGGAUGCGUAGGCGGUUAAACAAGUUAUAUGUUAAAUAUAUAGGCUUAACCUGUAGAAAGCAUAUAAAACUGUUUAACUAGAGUGCAGGAGA
rnacentral:rRNA from 1 species